UACGGAGGGAGCUAGCGUUGUUCGGAAUUACUGGGCGUAAAGCGCGCGUAGGCGGCUUUGUAAGUUAGAGGUGAAAGCCCGGAGCUCAACUCCGGAACUACCUUUAAGACUGCAUCGCUUGAAUCCAGGAGAGGUGAGUGGAAUUCCGAGUGUAGAGGUGAAAUUCGUAGAUAUUCGGAAGAACACCAGUGGCGAAGGCGGCUCACUGGACUGGUAUUGACGCUGAGGUGCGAAAGCGUGGGGAGCAAACAGG
rnacentral:rRNA from 1 species